rnacentral:rRNA from 1 species
AUUGAACGCUGGCGGCAUGCCUUACACAUGCAAGUCGAACGGCAGCACGGGGGCAACCCUGGUGGCGAGUGGCGAACGGGUGAGUAACAUAUCGGAACAUACCCUAGAGUGGGGGAUAACGUAGCGAAAGUUACGCUAAUACCGCAUACGAUCUAAGGAUGAAAGUGGGGGAUCUUCGGACCUCAUGCUCAUGGAGUGGCCGAUAUCUGAUUAGCUAGUUGGUGAGGUAAAGGCUCACCAAGGCGACGAUCAGUAGCUGGUUUGAGAGAACGACCAGCCACACUGGAACUGAGACACGGUCCAGACUCCUACGGGAGGCAGCAGUGGGGAAUUUUUGGACAAUGGGGGCAACCCUGAUCCAGCAAUGCCGCGUGAGUGAAGAAGGCC